rnacentral:misc_RNA from 1 species
CCCGACAGGGAGCAGUGUAGAAUGGUCUCGUGAAAAAUGGAAACUGGACCUCUGAAAAACACUCCAGAUGUGACAGAGUACAGACAAUCCGCAUCAACAUCAACACAAGAUGACACUGUGGCUAGAUCAGAAACAGGCACAGGUGCAGACCUCAGGAGCACUGCCCACAGGAGCGCUGCUCCCCAGGUCAGUCAGGCCUUCCGACCAGAUGACCCUCCAUCCGCUGCAGCCAGCAUUACCACGACCACCCCUCAGCUGGAGCCAACUUUCAUCACACUACCGUCAGACAAUGUGCAAGGUUGUUCAGUAUCCCAGUAUGACCUGUCAAACUCAUCUCAAACUUCAGAGGGGAAUCCCGGACAUCGUGGCUGUGUUUCACAAGCAUCUCUUAGCAUCAGGAUCAAGCAACUCAAUGAAGGGUUUGAGGAAAUUGGCACACUCCAUAAAGCAGAAGAACUCCUAAAAAGACACAACCAUGUGACAGUUUGUGGAGCUCCCGGCGAUGGAAAAACAAGCAUUGCUCUCAAGAUGUGUGAGAAAUAUCUGCGAAAGAAAUAUGAAGUUGUAUUUGUUGAAAACGUUGAAGAGUUUCAAGAAGAUACAAUAAUUCAGCGACAGUGUCACAUGCUGAUUGUGUUUGAUGAUAUAUUUGGUUCUGGACCAUUUCCGUCCAAUGUGCAGAAAAUCAAGAAGGUGUUGGCCAGACUGGCUGAUGUUUUAGUAAACAUCUCAGUUCAAAUGGUAGAACAGGACAAGAAGAAGCGAGAGCAGAAAAAACUAAAUGCAGACAAGAAGAAAAAUGAGUCUUUGUCUGCUGCAGAUGCAAAAAGCCUCUACAAAGUCCGCUUCAUCUUUACAUCUAGAACAUACAACUGGAAUGAAGGAUGCAGCAGACUUCACCAGUUCAAAAUAAAUCUCUUCAACCCUGAGAGUGUUAUCGAUUUGGCCACAACUACUCUGACUACUGACGAAAGGAAAUCUAUAAUAAAUUCAUUCUUGAAAAGAAAUCAAAUGUUUGACAUCUCCAGUCAGGACAAGAACACAAUUACACAGUUACAAGACAACAUGUUUGGGUUUCCACUCAUCUGUCAACUUUUCUGUACCAACCCAGCCUUCCAGAUGCACAAAAUUACUACCUUCUUUCAGAACCCUCUGACCUAUCUGAGAGGUGACCUUGACGCAAUUAUCCGUGAAGGUAGCAGCAGAUCGGCAGCCCUCGUUCUCCUUGUCCUGUGUGGGGGAAAGUUGGACCUUGUCUCCUUCAAGUCGGGGACAAGAUGUGAAGCAUUGUUUCAGGUUGUAAAGGAGGAAAUACCAUCCUGCACUCGUACAGACAUCGGUAAGGAGAUCAGCAACUUUACCGGCACCUACUGCACAGUAGAGAAUCAUGUAGCCUCCUUCUCUCAUCCAUCCAUUCACGACGCCGCAGCAUGUGCUUUGGGCCAUCUCAAUGAAGUGUUGUUACUGGAACAUUGUUCUCUGCAGUUCCUAUCUGAAAGAGUCAGACUUAACAGGGAUGAUGGCUUUCACUCAACCCACACUGAUGAUGUCACAAACAUGAUUUACAUCACUUCCAGUCUACAUCCAUUGGUGAUUACCAGAUUGGUGCAAGGUGUCCGAGAGGGGUGUUUUAGAUGGACAGUUGGUCACCCUAUAUUCAGCAACGUCCAAAUAGCCUCCUCCUUCUUGACAGAAAUGUCAGACCUGCCAGAUGUUGUUCACAGAAAAGAUACGAGCUCCGGUGAAUGCUUUCUGUAUUGGGUCUCACUUUCAACCAACCAGUCACUGUUUGAAUGCUCAUUGUCACUGAUGUGUAGAGAGAGAGGCCUUUCAAAUUCUGUUGUCACUGACUUCUACGAUAGUAUCAUAGGCUGUAUACAGAGUGGCAAUCUACUGUAUCUUCAGCUUAUUGCUGCUGCACUCAAACAGCGUGACAGAUUUGAUGUAGAUUACAGGACAAAGGGCCACAAAACACUGCUGAUGGUUGCUGCUGUUGCAGGACAGUUGAAUGUGUUCAACUUCCUACUGAAAGAGGGAGCUGAUGUUUCAGCGACAGACAAUCGACAUUACAACUGUCUUCAUCAUUCAUGUAAAUCGGGGAGGCAGGAUAUAGUAAAAGUUCUUGUUAAACAGUUUCAACAUCUGAUCAAUGUUGGUGAUAAAGAUGGAAACACCCCCGCAAUUGUAUGUGCUGUGUCAGGGCAAGUGGAAAUCCUCAAACUUCUCGUUUCACACGAAGCAGAUUUAACUAAGACGACUGAGUAUAACAGGCUGAACAUAUUUCAUAUAUGAUGUAUCCAAGGUCAUGCUUCAGUCGUAGAAUAUUUGCUGACAUGUGAAAACAUAACCCUAGAUAAGCGAGAAAGUCAGGGACAAACAGCACUGAUGAUGGCAGCAGCAAGAGGACACUAUGAUGUAUAUAAUCUUCUUGUGUUGGAGGGAGCUGAUCUGUCACUGACUGGUGACUACAACACUGACUGCUUGAUGUUGGCAUGUGAGGGAGGUAACAUGUCUAUAGUGAAACACCUCCUUUC